GAGAGCCGGAUGAGGGGGACCUUCACGUCCGGUUCGGAGGGCCGGGGUAUCCCGACCCUAC
rnacentral:ncRNA from 1 species